AUAUUCAAAUCAUGCCCCCCCGUGACCAAAUUCAUGGAUACAACCAACAUUUAACAAUAGCAGAAUCUAAUAAACCUCAACUAAGUAGAACUUUGAGCAUGAUUAUUAACUCUACAUGAGCAUACAUCAUAUAGAUCCUAACAGAAUAAAUGAUGAUUCAAACUUGUGUGAAACCGAUGAGCUGCACCGAGAGCUCAACACAUGAAUCUAACACCAUAUCACCUCUAGUAGCAACUACAACAUGCUUAACUACAACUAAUUCAGACAAAGUAAUCACAUUAAGUUAAACAAAAACAAAUCAGAGAAAAGCGAUAUGGAACAGUUUCCACGCUUCAAUUCUUCACUUCCAUUUUAUUCCUCAAAUUCACUUCCAACCAAAAUGAGUUACAAGGUCACAUACUUGGAAAUGCAACAAAAGAAGCAAAGAAAUGAGAUAUCAGUAGGAUUAACAGCAGAAAUCAACACCAGCAAUAAUAAUGAAAUAGUAAUAGGAUUAGUAACGCAGAAUCACGUUUGAAAACCCAAAUCCCAGCCUCGAAACCUUUCUAACCAAAUGCCAUAACUUGAAAAUAACCUUUUAUGAUGUUUUUAAACCAAAAACAAGAGAACCAAAAGCUGAAACUUAAUGUGAUUCAAGUAAUUUCACCAAAAGAAUCAAGAAUUAAAUGUUAUUUCAGAGUGCACUCAAAAUGCCUCUCCAUUUCAAGUUUUCCAAAAUUUUUACCCUCUUCCCUCUACCUUGAAGGAAAGAAAAGGUGCCUUUAUAGGCAAGGGAAGUAGGACAAAUAGCAGAUUUUAGUUUUGCAUUUAGGCCCUUUACAAAUAUUCAUUUUUGCCUAGAUGGCCUUAGUUAAAAUCUAAAAAUCAUUUUAAACCUCCCACCCAGCUUCCUAGAAGCUUCUCAAUCAGUUAGCAAAAGAUUCCCCUACCUAAUGUCCCUAAAUUACCCUUCAACACCCUUGUUAUUACUCUAAAAACCCACCAGAUCAAACUAGCCAAGCUAAUUGGGUCAUAGAACCCAAAUUAAAUCCAUAUUUGGGUCUGUUGCUAUAUAUAAAACAAUUACAACACUUAUGGACCCGGAAUAGAGCUAACCCAAAAUUUCUCCAAACAAAGAAGCCUGGAACUAUUUCUUUAAAUAAUAACUACCGAAACAAAAGCAAAAUGACUGAACUAACCAAUCUAAUUUCAUAACAACAAAUUAACUAAAUUAUGCACCUAAUUUCAUUAGCUAAGCGAUUAAUCUGAUAAUGAAACAAUAAUUAUGCUAUGAACACAAAGACUUAGACAAAAAAAAUAAGUUGGAUUAAAAGACUCCGAUAGUCCAGCUUUCACAACAAAAAUAAAAGAAGAGAACGCAGUUUGAACUCAGAAUACCCAAAUGAAUUUUGACCAACCCCAAAGAAAGGGGAUGAGGAGGAAGAUGAACCACUGAAAGAAAAAUACAAGAGGGGGAGAAGAACUUACCCAGUAAUGCUCGAAACUAAACAGAGACAGAAACUCAACCAAGGUUAUGUCGAAUCCGUUAUUUUUUGUCAAGAACAACGGAAUCGACAUUAAUUUUGUCAAGUCAGGCUCUCAAAUUUUCAAAGAAAACACUGCAUGUUACCAGGCUAGAAGGAAGAUGAUUUUGAACUUUUUAGUUGAAUUCGGAUUUAAGAUUCGACGAGUUCAAUAUUGAUUCGAGGGGUAUGGGUUAGGGAUUUGGAGAGAGAAGAUCAUGGUGGGUAUGCGGUGUGAUUUUAGCAUAGAAAGGAGGUGGCACUACCACCUCAUGGCGGUAGGAAAAGGGGGCGACGGGCUAGGGUUCAGAGGUGUCUCUGAUUUUUU
rnacentral:lncRNA from 1 species